UGUCAAGGGAUGGGAAUCGAACCCACGAUCUUCCGCUUACCGGGCAGAUGCCAUGACCACUAGGCUACCCUGGAC
rnacentral:tRNA from 1 species